rnacentral:rRNA from 1 species
UACGUAGGGGGCAAGCGUUGUCCGGAAUUAUUGGGCGUAAAGAGCGUGUAGGCGGCCAGAUAAGUCCGCUGUGAAAUCUCGAGGCUCAACUUCGAGCUGUCGGUGGAAACUAUCUGGCUAGAGUCCGGAAGAGGAGAAUGGAAUUCCUGGUGUAGCGGUGAAAUGCGCAGAUAUCGGGAGGAACAUCAGUGGCGAAGGCGGCUGCCUGGCCCAAUACUGACACUCAGGUGCGACAGCGUGGGGAGCAAACAGG